rnacentral:lncRNA from 1 species
UAAUUUCUAGUGUAAAUGAUAAGUAAUUUACCUAUGUACAAGGAUCUGUAAGAAUUUUAGAAAAAUUAACAAUACAAGGAAAUGAAAAAAAUAAAAAAAGAAUACUACUCCUUUACAUUUAUUUAAAACGAACAUAAGGUAAAUUUAAUCUAUCUAAUUUAAGAAUACCACAUAGUUCGCCUCGUGCUUUAGUAAAUACACAAAAAUCCUAAUGACUGUAGCCUUAAUUAGACAAAAAUUUGCUGCCUGAUUACUUUCUCGAUAAAUAUGCGAAUUUCUAUAAGAAAUAUUUUGCAAAUAUUUCCUUAUAGAUUCCAAUAAAUACCGUAUGUCAUGGGACCCUUUUUGAGAAUAUUAGAUCAUCUGAAUCACCACCAAUGCAUCCACCUCUAUCCAUAAAUUAUUAAUAUUGUACUCUUGGCACAAUAGUAAGCCCCUAAGCAGCACCUGUAGCUCUGCUUGCAAGGAAUUAGAAGAACCAAUGUUUUCUGAGAAACCAAAAACGAGCAUACUUGUGUGAUCUCGAAGG